GGAAGGGAUGUAUUUAUUAGAUAAAAAACCAAUGCGGGCAACCGCUUCUUUGGUGAUUCAUAAUAACUUUUCGAAUCGCAUGGCCUUGUGCUGGCGAUGUUUCAUUCAAAUUUCUGCCCUAUCAACUUUCGAUGGUAGGAUAGUGGCCUACCAUGGUUUCAACGGGUAACGGGGAAUUAGGGUUCUAUUCCGGAGAGGGAGCCUGAGAAACGGCUACCACAUCCAAGGAAGGCAGCAGGCGCGCAAAUUACCCAAUCCCGACACGGGGAGGUAGUGACAAUAAAUACUGAUACAGGGCUCUUUUGAGUCUUGUAAUUGGAAUGAGUACAAUUUAAAUCCCUUAACGAGGAACAAUUGGAGGGCAAGUCUGGUGCCAGCAGCCGCGGUAAUUCCAGCUCCAAUAGCGUAUAUUAAAGUUGUUGCAGUUAAAAAGCUCGUAGUUGAAUUUUAGGCCUGGUUGGACGGUCUGCCUUUGGUUUGUACUGUCCUGACUGGGUCUUACCUUCUGGUGAGCUGUCGUGUUGUUUACUCAGUGCGGCAGGGAACCAGGACUUUUAC
rnacentral:rRNA from 1 species